rnacentral:tRNA from 1 species
GGUUGUGGCUCAGGGGGAGAAUGCUUGCCUAGCAUGAGCAAGGUCCUGGGUUCAAUCCUCAGCACCA